CCUUCGAUAGCUCAGUUGGUAGAGCGGUGGACUGUAGAUUGGGAUUACGAAUGUAGACAUCCAUAGGUCGCUGGUUCAAAUCCGGCUCGAAGGA
rfam:Drosophila simulans chromosome 2L, whole genome shotgun sequence.